rnacentral:rRNA from 1 species
AUGGUGUUACUGAUGCAGACUGUCGGCAGAUCCACUCUGCUUGAGCUAGGGAAGACUUUGGUGCCUGCCCCUGUGGUUGUGAAUGGCCCUGCGGUGACGGAUUUUGAGGUGGCACAUCAGGCGGAGCGCGAGGCGGCGCAACAUCGGAUGGAGGACAGGGGCAAAGCACAAAUCUUCUCGGCGAAGGAGGCGGCAGCCGACAAAAGGGAGAGCUCGCCGCCGCCGCCGCCAGAGCUGUCAACGAUGAAGAUGAAUCCCCAAGCGCCGGGAUGGAACACGAGGUUGACUGCUCUCUGCAUUCGUAAAAUUGAUGCUAUAUGUAGCUGUUUUGCGGGCUUAGGAUUGGUGCCGCCGCUCCUAGCAGAACACCGUGCCCAGAUCGUAUCAGUGCGUUCGAGAAGGCAGCCAGAUGCUCGUAGAGAACCUAGCUGA